rnacentral:rRNA from 1 species
GACGAACGCUGGCGGCGUGCCUAAUACAUGCAAGUCGAACGCAGUGGGGACGGGUGAGUAACACGUGGGUAACCUCCCAUCAGAGGGGAUAACACUUGGAAACAGGUGCUAAACCGAUACUGAUGGAUGAACCCGCGGUGCAUUAGCUAGUUGGUGAGGUAACGGCUCACCAAGGCAACGAUGCAUAGCCGACGUGAGAGGUUGAGCGGCCACACUGGGACGUGUCCACGGCCCAGACGCCAACGGGAGGAAGCAGUAGGGAAGCGUGGGGAAUGGACGAAAGUCUGACCGAGCAACGCCGCGUGAGUGAAGAAGGUGUUCGGAUCGUAAAACUCUGUUGUUAGAGAAGCGGUAUCUAACCAGAAAGCCACGGCUAACUACGUGCCAGAAGCCGCGGUAAUAC